rnacentral:rRNA from 1 species
AGUGAACGCUGGCGGUAGGCCUAACACAUGCAAGUCGAACGGCAGCACAGGAGAGCCUGCUCUCUGGGUGGCGAGUGGCGGACGGGUGAGGAAUACAUCGGAAUCUACUCUGUCGUGGGGGAUAACGUAGGGAAACUUACGCUAAUACCGCAUACGACCUACGGGUGAAAGCAGGGGACCUUCGGGCCUUGCGCGAUUGAAUGAGCCGAUGUCGGAUUAGCUAGUUGGCGGGGUAAAGGCCCACCAAGGCGACGAUCCGUAGCUGGUCUGAGAGGAUGAUCAGCCAAACUGGAACUGAGACACGGUCCAGACUCCUACGGGAGGCAGCAGUGGGGAAUAUUGGACAAUGGGCGCAAGCCUGAUCCAGCCAUACCGCGUGGGUGAAGAAGGCCUUCGGGUUGUAAAGCCCUUUUGUUGGGGAAGAAAUCCAGCUGGCUAAUACCCGGUUGGGAUGACGGUACCCAAAGAAUAAGCACCGGCUAACUUCGUGCCAGCCGCCGCAGUAA